UCUUGAGUUUUAACCUCUUUCUUUUAAGAAUAGCCUCAUGGGAUGAAAGCCAUCUCUUUGCAUAUCUUAGAUUGAGCAGAUUGGUAGGUGUUCUAUAGUCAUUGAUUUUAAUUAGGGAAUAUUGUAUUUAAGUUACUUUCUUCUAACCCACAUUUCACAGGAAAUGCUUUAAUGCAUAAUAUUGAUGAGAAAAGCAGAUUCACUUCUGAAAAUGCAAGAUUUUUUUUUACUUAAUAAAGACAGCUAUUUAAAAUAUUUCUCUCUGAUCAUAUAAUAGUAAAAUAAUAGUAAAUAUUUGUUUCUUCUUUUAGAAAUACUUAAAGAAAACAAAAAUUCCUCCACAAUAAAACAGGCAACCACAGUAUCUAUGGGACGUCUUUUGCACCUCUACCUUUCCCUGACCAAAGCUCUGAGGGCCCUAGUGAUCUCUUCCAGACGAGCAGAGCCCCAGGGAGUACUGGGGCAAGAAUCGUGGGGCGGGGAAAGAGCUGGAAUCUUCUUCUAGUGAAUCAGGGCUGAAUGCAGUUGUACUGCACUCCUGAGUUCCUCUGGAAGAACAGCCAGCAAGUGAGCACACCAGCCACAGGCAGACGUUAGUGGAAAAUGGCCCCUGUGUGCUGCUGUGCAGGCCUGAGCUCUCAGAAGGCUGCAUGCUCAUGUCUCAGGUCUGCUUUAACAGGCCUUUGCUGUACUUUGAAUGACACCUUUAAGAAUUCUGCUAUCCUCUUUCCUCACUGUUCCUCUUCUUUCUUCCCUCCCCUCCCCUCCCCUCCCCUCUUCUUUUCUUUCCUUUCCUUUUCUUUUCUUUCCUGUUCAUUUCUGUUCUGUUCUGGCGGCAGGGGUAAGGACAGAAUCUAGCACCUGACAUGUUAUAGGCAAGGACUACAGCUCAGACAAAGUGACAAGGAGUCACAAACAGAGGCCUGUGGGAAGUAUAUCGGCUUCCUAAGGUUUAAGCUAAUGUGCUUUUAAAUAAUAAGACAGAGCAGCUACCAAGACUACCCAGGCCCCGAAUUUUCUUAACCACAGUAAAACAAACAGCACGUGUGCGUAGAUAGUAAUGGUUAGCUUUUGUGUAUAUAUUUUUAAUUGCUUUAUGUCGAUAUGUUCAUAUCACAGAUACUUUAGUGAGCGGUGCAGGAGGAAUGACCAUGCUUCCUCUAAGUUCUCAGCUGGGACAAUCCCGUGUGCAGUAGCCUCCUGCACCCUGGGCUGCAGCAGCGGCAGGCAACGUUCUCCUAAGAGCAGGGCAAUUCCUUGCUGAGUGGGGUUUUUGUGAAUCCCAUAGCACAUGUAGGCUGACGCUGUGCUAGAGUGUCUUGCCAUUGUUGCCCAGCAGCCCCUUCCAUGGCAAGUAGUCCACUUAGUUCUCAGGUUCAUCUUUACUUGUCCAGCCGUCAGGACUCUGCUACUAUGUUUUGUUCUGUUUAUGUUUCCUUUCAAACCGCAUCGGCUUCAAGUUUAGUAGAGACGUGGACUUUAGGUAGGCCUCCUUUGAGAAACGUGCACCAUUCAGUGGUGUUCACAGAUUUUAAAUCGAGGCCUGAGAAUGGUUUUAGAUUUUUGUCUCUUUUUGUGCCAGUCUGUGACUUCUAUUUGCUAAGUGACUUGACUUGUAGUUUCCAAAAACAGAAAAAGGUGAAGUAUCUGGGCUAGCCUGUUCACCUCUGCUCUCUCAAGUCUGGGCAAAUGUCAGUUUCUUACAUGGUGAAGCCUGACAUUGAGAGAUGAAUGACUGUGCAGUGGGAAGCUGAGGUGUUCCCGUCCAGAUCCAUAGUCUCCUCAGUUCACAGAAGCAAGCUGAGGAGGAAAGCUCAGGAACGAAGGACAAGAUCAGAACCAUAGCCUUUAAAAAAAUCAGCUUUCACACCCCAUUUGCGGUCUUCACCACUGGGCCACCAGUCAGCAGCCCAGCCUGCUGCAAGGAGAGAGCAUAUGAUGUAGGUAUUUUUUGUCAAGAUCAUCCUUUUAAUCGAACAUUGGUUGUUCCCUCUCAUCCUCAGUACGUUUUUGACCUAGAAACGCGCCCUAAGAACCGUCUGAAGACUUACCCCAGACUGAGUGGCCACUAAAGCCAUUACAGAUGAACACACGUGUGUGUUGCUCGGCU
ensembl:sense_intronic